GAUGAACGCUGGCGGCGUGCCUAAUACAUGCAAGUCGAGCGAACAGAUGAGGAGCUUGCUCCUCUGACGUUAGCGGCGGACGGGUGAGUAACACGUGUAUAACCUACCUAUAAUACUGGGAUAACUUCGGGAAACCGGAGCUAAUACCGGAGAAUAUAUUGAACCGCAUGGUUCAAUAGUGAAAGACGGUUUUGCUGUCACUUAUAGAUGGAUCCGCGCCGCAUUAGCUAGUUGGUAAGGUAAAGGCUUACCAAGGCAACGAUGCGUAGCCGACGUGAGAGGGGGAUCGGCCACACUGGAACUGAGACGGGGUCCAGACUCCUACGGGAGGCAGCAGUAGGGAAUGUGCCGCAGUGGGCGAAAGCCUGACGGAGCAACGCCGCGCGAGUGAUGAAGGUCUUCGGAUCGUAAAACUCUGUUAUUAGGGAAGAACAAAUGUGUAAGUAACUGUGCACGUCUUGACGGUACCUAAUCAGAAAGCAACGGCUAACUACGUG
rnacentral:rRNA from 1 species